rnacentral:rRNA from 1 species
ACUCCUACGGGAGGCAGCAGUGGGGAAUAUUGCGCAAUGGGCGAAAGCCUGACGCAGCAACGCCGUGUGAGGGAUGAAGGCUUUCGGGUCGUAAACCUCUGUCGGAAGGGAGGAACGGGCAUUGGUCUAAUAGGCCUUUGUUUUGACGGUACCUUUAGAGGAAGCACCGGCUAACUCCGUGCCAGCAGCCGCGGUAAUACGGAGGGUGCAGGCGUUAUUCGGAAUUACUGGGCGUAAAGCGCACGUAGGCCGCUUUGUAAGUCAGGGGUGAAAUCCCACGGCUCAACCGUGGAACUGCCCUUGAAACUGCAGAGCUUGAAUCCUGGAGAGGGUGGCGGAAUUCCUGGUGUAGGAGUGAAAUCCGUAGAUAUCAGGAGGAACACCGGUGGCGAAGGCGGCCACCUGGACAGGCAUUGACGCUGAGGUGCGAAAGUGUGGGGAGCAAACAGGAUUAGAUACCCUGGUAGUC